AUAACGAUGUACAACAUUGAAGGUACAGUUGAAGGUCCAGUGUCCCAAGCAAACCAGAGUUCUAUACCUUCUUGCCUGCAGUUAUUUCCAUUCCAAAAUUCCCACAAGAUGUCCAGAGUCGCUUGGAUCUCAAAGAACCAGUCCAGAAAGAACAGAAGUACCGAAACAAAAUAAUUGGGACUCUUUAUGAAAUGCUGUCACAGUACACAAUGUACCCAACCCACUCAGACUACAUCCAGGUCAUCAAAGCCCUGAUUGUGAAGUAUCCUUUCUUAAGAGAUGUACACGGAAAUGGUUAUGACACCUGGCACAGCCAACUCAAGAGAAAGUUCAAAGCAGAACGGGCUCCCCUAAUCAGCAACGAAGAAGUGAACCGGGUUAAAGAAAAGUUUGGACGCACGCAGAAACAUCGGACCACAGAGGAAUCCAGCAGCUCCUGUCUGAAGAGACUGAAGCCCUCUCUCGUUGAUUUAAUGCAUCCCUGCCAAGACAACAUCUGUUGCCGCUUUAGCGAGAACUUCACUGCUGUUCUUCAAAAUGUUCUUCAAAUGACCAAGGAUUUGCCACUGAAGAAGGUCUACAUGGAGGCAAGAGAGAAUGCACUGGCUGAAGACAUUACAGGUACUAAUUUGACCUCAUACAAAUAG
rnacentral:lncRNA from 1 species